rnacentral:rRNA from 1 species
UACGGGGGGGGCAAGCGUUGUUCGGAAUUACUGGGCGUAAAGGGUGCGUAGGCGGUCUGUUAAGUUGGAUGUGAAAACUCUGGGCUCAACCCAGAGCCUGCAUCCAAAACUGGCAGGCUAGAGUUCUGGAGGGGGUAGCGGAAUUCCUGGUGUAGCGGUGAAAUGCGUAGAUAUCAGGAGGAACACCGGUGGUGUAGACGGCUUUCUGGACCGUAACUGACGCUGAGACACGAAAGCGUGGGUAGCAAACAGG